rnacentral:rRNA from 1 species
AACGAACGCUGGCGGCAGGCUUAACACAUGCAAGUCGAACGGUUGUAGCAAUACAGCAGUGGCAGACGGGUGAGUAACACGUGGGAACCUUCCUAGGGGUACGGAACAACUCAGGGAAACUUGAGCUAAUACCGUAUACGUCCGUGAGGAGAAAGAUUUAUCGCCCUUAGACGGGCCCGCGUCGGAUUAGCUAGUUGGUGGGGUAACGGCCUACCAAGGCGACGAUCCGUAGCUGAUCUUAGAGGAUGAUCAGCCACACUGGGACUGAGACACGGCCCAGACUCCUACGGGAGGCAGCAGUGAGGAAUAUUGGGCAAUGGGCGCUAGCCUGACCCAGCCAUGCCGCGUGCAGGAAGACGGUCCUAUGGAUUGUAAACUGCUUUGUAC